rnacentral:rRNA from 1 species
CCUACGGGGGGCAGCAGUGGGGAAUAUUGCACAAUGGGGGAAACCCUGAUGCAGCGACGCCGCGUGAGUGAUGAAGUAUUUCGGUAUGUAAAGCUCUAUCAGCAGGGAAGAUAAUGACGGUACCUGACUAAGAAGCUCCGGCUAACUACGUGCCAGCAGCCGCGGUAAUACGUAGGGAGCAAGCGUUAUCCGGAUUUACUGGGUGUAAAGGGCGGGUAGGCGGGCAUGCAA